GAUGAAGAACGUAGCGAAAUGCGAUACUUGGUGUGAAUUGCAGAAUCCCGUGAACCAUCGAGUCUUUGAACGCAAGUUGCGCCCGAAGCCAUUAGGCCGAGGGCACGCCUGCCUGGGCGUCACACGUCGUUGCCCCCCCUUCUACUCCUUCGGGAUUGCGGGGGGCGGAUGAUGGCCUCCCGUGCGCCUCGUCGCGCGGUUGGCAUAAAUACCAAGUCCUCGGCGACGCACGCCACGACAAUCGGUGGUUGCGAAACCUCGGUUGCCCGUCGUGUGCGGUCGUCGCGCAUCGAGGGCUCGAAAAAAUUGCCGGGCUCCGGCUCGGCUUUCAACGCGACCCCAGGUCAGGCGGGGUUACCCGCUGAAUUUAAGCAUAUCAAUAAGCGGAGGA
rnacentral:misc_RNA from 1 species